CGAACCAAUAAGAAUUAUAAUGGAAUGAUAAGUACUCUUUUAUUCUGGGCUUAAGUCAUUCGCGGCAACUAGUGCUUUCUAUAAUUAAAAAAAUGUCAGUCAUUCUCGGAUGCUUUACUAGCAGCCGGAGAGAGAGAGAAAAAUAUAUACGGGGACACUAGCCGUGCAUAUUACACAUAUAUAUUUUAAGAGAAACAUCUCUAUAUUUAAGCAAUUUUAAAGCCUAUAUAUACGUGGCCUUUCAUCAAGCAAGAAAAUGCACUCGCACUCAAUUAAUUAGCUCUUCUUCUCAUCACAAGCAGCAGAGUCCAAACUCAGUGAACAUGGGUAAGGAGUGCCUAUCUCACAAGCUCUCUUUCUUUUUUGGAAUUCUCCUUGUGACACUCACUGUUAAUUCACUUUGGUCCUCAAACACUAAAGCGAUUGCUUUGCGAGACCUACCUUUAGAAGUACAAGUGAUUGAGCAGAUGGUACUUCCAGAACUGAGCUAUACUGUUCAUUGUUUUGCGCAAUGUGAAAAUAAUUGGGAUUGCAGAAAAUUGCUAGACUGCGGGUAUUGUCGAAAGCCGAAUUAUAGGUCACCAAUUAAGAUAUGUUUGACUCCAUGUUGACCCAUUUUAAUAUAUUUCAUAUGAUAAAAUGUGUUUUUAUUAAUCUUUUUAGUUUUACCUACUCCUAAUUCUGAGCUUUGUGUCACUUGUAAGAUCAGAGGCGGGGAUUUAAAUUUAAUGUGUUUUGAAUUUUAGAGCGAUAAUUUAAAGUGUUAAUAAUUGAGUCCUAAAUUUAAUA